AAAUUGAAGAGUUUGAUCAUGGCUCAGAUUGAACGCUGGCGGCAGGCCUAACACAUGCAAGUCGAGCGGUAGCACAGAGAGCUUGCUCUCGGGUGACGAGCGGCGGACGGGUGAGUAAUGUCUGGGAAACUGCCUGAUGGAGGGGGAUAACUACUGGAAACGGUAGCUAAUACCGCAUAACGUCGCAAGACCAAAGUGGGGGACCUUCGGGCCUCAUGCCAUCAGAUGUGCCCAGAUGGGAUUAGCUAGUAGGUGGGGUAACGGCUCACCUAGGCGACGAUCCCUAGCUGGUCUGAGAGGAUGACCAGCCACACUGGAACUGAGACACGGUCCAGACUCCUACGGGAGGCAGCAGUGGGGAAUAUUGCACAAUGGGCGCAAGCCUGAUGCAGCCAUGCCGCGUGUGUGAAGAAGGCCUUCGGGUUGUAAAGCACUUUCAGCGGGGAGGAAGGCGGUGAGGUUAAUAACCUCACCGAUUGACGUUACCCGCAGAAGAAGCACCGGCUAACUCCGUGCCAGCAGCCGCGGUAAUACGGAGGGUGCAAGCGUUAAUCGGAAUUACUGGGCGUAAAGCGCACGCAGGCGGUCUGUCAAGUCGGAUGUGAAAUCCCCGGGCUCAACCUGGGAACUGCAUUCGAAACUGGCAGGCUAGAGUCUUGUAGAGGGGGUAGAAUUCCAGGUGUAGCGGUGAAAUGCGUAGAGAUCUGGAGGAAUACCGGUGGCGAAGGCGGCCCCCUGGACAAAGACUGACGCUCAGGUGCGAAAGCGUGGGGAGCAAACAGGAUUAGAUACCCUGGUAGUCCACGCUGUAAACGAUGUCGAUUUGGAGGUUGUGCCCUUGAGGCGUGGCUUCCGGAGCUAACGCGUUAAAUCGACCGCCUGGGGAGUACGGCCGCAAGGUUAAAACUCAAAUGAAUUGACGGGGGCCCGCACAAGCGGUGGAGCAUGUGGUUUAAUUCGAUGCAACGCGAAGAACCUUACCUGGUCUUGACAUCCACAGAACUUAGCAGAGAUGCUUUGGUGCCUUCGGGAACUGUGAGACAGGUGCUGCAUGGCUGUCGUCAGCUCGUGUUGUGAAAUGUUGGGUUAAGUCCCGCAACGAGCGCAACCCUUAUCCUUUGUUGCCAGCGGUCCGGCCGGGAACUCAAAGGAGACUGCCAGUGAUAAACUGGAGGAAGGUGGGGAUGACGUCAAGUCAUCAUGGCCCUUACGACCAGGGCUACACACGUGCUACAAUGGCAUAUACAAAGAGAAGCGACCUCGCGAGAGCAAGCGGACCUCAUAAAGUAUGUCGUAGUCCGGAUUGGAGUCUGCAACUCGACUCCAUGAAGUCGGAAUCGCUAGUAAUCGUAGAUCAGAAUGCUACGGUGAAUACGUUCCCGGGCCUUGUACACACCGCCCGUCACACCAUGGGAGUGGGUUGCAAAAGAAGUAGGUAGCUUAACCUUCGGGAGGGCGCUUACCACUUUGUGAUUCAUGACUGGGGUGAAGUCGUAACAAGGUAACCGUAGGGGAACCUGCGGUUGGAUCACCUCCUUA
rnacentral:rRNA from 1 species